rnacentral:rRNA from 1 species
AUUGAACGCUGGCGGCAGGCCUAACACAUGCAAGUCGAGCGGAUGAAGGGAGCUUGCUCCUGGAUUCAGCGGCGGACGGGUGAGUAAUGCCUAGGAAUCUGCCUGGUAGUGGGGGAUAACGUCCGGAAACGGGCGCUAAUACCGCAUACGUCCUGAGGGAGAAAGUGGGGGAUCUUCGGACCUCACGCUAUCAGAUGAGCCUAGGUCGGAUUAGCUAGUUGGUGGGGUAAAGGCCUACCAAGGCGACGAUCCGUAACUGGUCUGAGAGGAUGAUCAGUCACACUGGAACUGAGACACGGUCCGGACUCCUACGGGAGGCAGCAGUGGGGAAUAUUGGACAGUGGGCGAAAGCCUGAUCCAGCCAUGCCGCGUGUGUGAAGAAGGUCUUCGGAUUGUAAAGCACUUUAAGUUGGGAGGAAGGGCAGUAAGUUAAUACCUUGCUGUUUUGACGUACCAACAGAAUAAGCUCC